rnacentral:rRNA from 1 species
AUGGCAAUCUUCCUGCUGGUGGCGCUCUCAACCUCCCACAUCGCAUCCUCACUCCGUCCGAGUCAAGGUGUUUGCCAUGCAAGUGGCUAUCUUCUAGAAAAGUCGGGCAACUGUGAGAAGAGCAGCGACACGAAUUGUUGUGAGGACAGCAAGAGCUUUGAGAAGGGCAAGGACAGCGGUGGCUCAUCGGAGUGUGACAAUGCCUACCAUAGCGAUAAGGAGAUGGUUGUCGCGCUGUCCACCGGCUGGUUCAAGAACAUGGCCCAUUGCGGGCACUGUAUUAAGAUCACUACCAAUGGAAACUUCGUGUACGCCAAGGUGGUGGACAAGUGCGACUCUGUGUAUGGCUGUGAUGAAGAUCACAACUACGAACCGCCAUGUGCCAACAACAUAGUCGGCGCCUGUCCAGCAGUGUGGAACGCGUUAGGGCUCGACCAGAACGUUGGCAUGGAGGGCAUCACCUGGUCUGAUGUAACGCCCUCGAUGCGGCUAUAG